CACCACCAGGAGCCCGCGGGGCGGGGAGAGGGACUUGGAAGAGGCUUGUGCGCGUGCGCACUAGGGCGUGGGCGGGGCGACAGCGCGGGCGGGACAAUGGGGCGGGGGGUGGGGCUGCUGUUAUUAGGCAAUGGGCGUUUGACGGGUCUGGGUUGGCCUGGAUUUGAUUGUAAAACGGAGCAGCUAAAUUAUUAAGUAGUCAGAAAUAGACUUAUUUCAGAAAUAACAUCUUAUUCCUAUUCCCAUGACGAGGAGAGUCCAAAAGUAGCUAAAAAAGAGAGACUGAGAUACGUAAGGCUCCACGCAGCCAGCCCUCCAGAAAGCCUCCCAAAGAACCGUCUGGAACCACACGCAGAGUAAACAACUUACCCACUACCUGUUAAGUGUGUGAAGCACUGGGCUCUACGGGCGUUAACAACCUAGUGAUGAAGAACCUACAGCUCCUACACCACGCGCGUGCCUCCAGGGGGAGAGGCAGCAAACCCUGGCCAAGCGGAAGACUUGAAGCAAAUAGGAAAAGUAUGAAUAAUUGGCAAGUGUGGGAGCAGUCACGUGGGAGUUUGGUACAGAAGAAUCUCGGCUCUGCUUCGAUCUGGCCGUGUGACCUUGAACAAGUCAUUUCACCGCCUUGUGCCUCAGUUUCCUUAUCUGCACAAUGGAAUCAUAACAGCACCAAUUUAUUAGGGCAACUGUAAGGGUUACGGGAGUUAAUGGAUGUGAAGAGCUGUGUGAAGUGGCAUAUGUAUGACUUCCCCGAGCCCUGAUACAACAAAAACGAGAGGAGGAGCGCCUGGGUGGCUCAGUCGGUGGAGCGUCCGACUUGGACUCAGGUCAUGAUCUCGAGGUUCGGGAGUUCGAGCUCUGCAUCGGGCUCUGUGCUGACAGCUUGGAGCCUGGAACCUGCUUCAGAUUCUGUCUCCCUCUCUCUCUGCCCCUCCCCCGCUCAUGCCCUGUCUCUCUCUCUCUCUUUCUCUCAAAAAUAAAUAAACGUUAAAAAAAUUAAAAAAACAAAAAUGAGAGACAAUCCGUUCUCAGAACUAGGUUUUUUUCUAAAAUAGUCAUUAUUGUUCUGAUACUAUAUUCUUUCCAAUCUCUUUAUUA